GUGUGUGUGUGUGUGUGUGUUUUACAAAGUAAAAUAGCCUAGGUGUGUGUGUGUGUGUGUUUUACAAAGUAAAAUAGCCUAGGUGUGUGCGUGCGUGUGUUUCACAAAGUAAAACUAGAGCGAGAGGCUUUUUGCACUGACACCGGCUGUCACCAGCGACUGAGCUGUGCAUGGUGAGUCAGUGGAUUAUAAUUUCCUCCUCAUAUUGUAGCCUACAAUAUGUCUCCACAAGCCUAGGCUAUUGAUGCAGUCGUUUUCAUUGGUCUCAGUUUGUCAGUGUCAAUGUAUCCUGUCAUUUAGAUAAUUUGUGCAGUAUUAAAAAAGGUUCUUCCAAAGUCUCCAGUCAUGUAAAAAAUGACAGAAUUGCAAGAAAUGCAUUUAUAAAAGGCACAUUUCUUUCCAGAACCUAGGCAACUAAAAAUGUUCCACGUGUGUGCAGCUGUUGUCAGUCCCUCUACUGCUCUAUGCCAAUACACAAAGGUGAUGAUAUGCCUACAAUACUUUUUAUUAUAAAGGGGAUUCUUUUUUUAUGUGUUCCGAUACCUAAGAGCAAGGUUGCAGAGCCCCCCCCCAGGUGCCGAUUUACAAAUUAAGCACUGGUUGGGUGUACCUAAUAAACUGUUCCGUGAGUGUAUGUGUUCAUUGUAAAACGAGGAUCAAUGGCUCA